GACGAACGCUGGCGGCACGCUUAACACAUGCAAGUCGAACGGGAUCCAUGGAGCUUGCUCCGGAAGAUCUAGUGGCGAACGGGUGCGUAACACGUGAGAAAUCUGCCCCAAACUUGGGAAUAACAGUCGGAAACGACUGCUAAUACCGAAUACCUUCACGACGUCGCAUGGCGAUGUGAAGAAAGCUUUAUGCGGUUUGGGAGGAUCUCGCGGCCUAUCAGCUAGUUGGUGAGGUAACGGCUCACCAAGGCAUCGACGGGUAGCUGGUCUGAGAGGAUGAUCAGCCACACUGGGACUGAGACACGGCCCAGACUCCUACGGGAGGCAGCAGUGGGGAAUAUUGCACAAUGGGCGCAAGCCUGAUGCAGCGAUGCCGCGUGCGGGAUGAAGGCCCUAGGGUUGUAAACCGCUUUCAGUAGGGAAGAAAAUGACGGUACCUACAGAAGAAGGUGCGGCCAACUACGUGCCANAGCCGCGGUGACACGUAGGCACCAAGCGUUGUCUGGAUUUAUUGGGCGUAAAGAGCUCGUAGGCGGUU
rnacentral:rRNA from 1 species